UGAUAUUGUAUUGUUUUGAAACGGAAUAUGUAAUAUACGUAAUAUAAUCGUGCUGUGUUCGACUCGAGUGAACUUGUAAUCUCAAUCUCCGACCAGGAAAAGCCAAAGAAAACAAACCCUCAACUUGGAAAUUCCUACUCGUCAACUUGGGGUAGUCUUGUCAGGCCUGUGACGUCAAAUCAACAUGGCUGCACACAGCAUCAGAAGUAAACAAAGCAGCACUUCUUUCCUUUAAAUGAGGUAUGCUGUAUAUACAAGUAUUUGCUUUAGCUCUAUCAACAAAAACCUAUUCGCUUGUGAAAUCUAUAACACUGACUAUACAGAUCGCUGUUUGAGAAGGAAAAUAUACAUCACUUGUCACAGUUAGCUGGCUAGCUUGUUGCUAACAAAAGAUGGUCAUGGAGGCGGCCAUGUUUUUUUCCAGUUUGUUUAUUUAAUGCGCCGAGGUCGAAAAUGACGUCAUUCCGACCUGCGAAUUCCCGCAGUACAGUAGCCCUCUAGUUUUGAGGGAGAGGAACUGUUUUUCACUGCUCCUGUCAGUGUAAACCAAGAUGUCUUCUAUUAUGUAUGUAUAGUUUGAUGUUAUAAUGAAAUGUACUGAAAUGUUUGCCUGUUAGAUUUAAAAGCGUAGUUCGUCAUCUUUAGACCCCUCUGCUGCUCUUUGAGAAGAGGCACAGCUCAACAGGACUGUUACGGUUGCGACUGAAGCUAAUUUUUGGGCCACAAAUAUGUAAACCAGACAGCUUUGAAAUGUUAUGAUUUUUAGUUAUGAUUUAAGUUUUGAAAUGCUUUUAAAAACUGUGCUUUUAAAAGGCCAAGGUCUGUGCCUCCAAAAAAUCUGUCCUGUAUAUAUCACCUGAAGAAUGCCAGCACAUCUGAAAAUCAGUUAGUGUGUGAUUCAUUUGGACUUCUGUACUGUAAGAAAUAAAACAUGGCCAAUAAACUGCAAUCAGGCUUUAUUGUCUCAGCAAUGAAUUCAUGGAUGUUAUUUAUACCCUCCUAGGCACCAGAGGCAGUGAAAAUCAAUCAGUUCCCUUAUUGUGUGCGUGUGUACACAUGCCAAGACGUCAAAAGUCAUAAAAGGAAGUAUGACGCAGUAUUUGCAAAACAAUAUUGCAUCACAGAGGGCACACAGUGUCAAUAUCUUCGUGGUUUUACUGCUAGUAUUGGAAGAAACACUCCAAUCUGCUGCUGUUGAUACCACUGUACACCACAUGUAUCUCCUUAACAGUCUGUGAGUUGACACCUAUCUAUGUUUUUUCGUCUGCCACUGUGAGUGUAUUUAUAGUGAUGUUUUUUUUUUAGACAACAUGAUUUUACACUCACUCAGCUCAGUACAUUUAGGUCCUCAAUAACCUGGCCUCUGAAUGAGUAAUAAGUGAGGAUCUGCUCGAGGGUUGGUCAUCUUUUAAGGUCUCUCUGCAGACACCACCUUAUCAGACUGCAGCAGGCUGUGCAGUAAAGUAUUUGGUUAAAUUUAGUGACUAUCUGAAAUUUCUCUUUAUAUUCAUAUAUUUUUUUUAAAUAAUAAUAAUUCUCGCCACUAUGGACGUUUUUUCAGCUUUUUGUACAGGUCUGAAUGUAAAGCUUCUGUAUGUUCUCCCUUGCAGGCCGACCGUCAGUGAAGUACAGGUGGACGACAUUAGUGUGAUCCCCUAACACAGCAAAAUAUCAAAAUUGCAGGCAACAUUUAUAUAAAGAUUUAGUCUCAGACUGUAGCAGUUUGCCUUAACAAUAUGCUAACAAUCUAUGCAACUAACCUACAUGUAAGCUAAACAUAUCAAACACAACUGAAGCAAAGAAACAAGAAAACAAUAGACACAAGCACAAAAAAAAUCUAUGGGUAUUCACAUUUAUCAUGCAUAAAAGUUUUUGUAAAAAAAAAGUUCUUUACCCAUUUUAUUCAGGUUGUUACAAAAUGUGUUUACUGUGACCUUAAUCUUCUAUAUUAAAAAAAACUUCAUUUACUGUAACGAAGCAGACUGUAAAAUAAUAAAAUAAUAAAGCGGAAAGGAGGUAAAAGUUCAGCCAGCAGUUAAGGCAGUGUGUGUGUGUGUGUGUGUGUGUGUGUGUGUGUGCUUGGUGCUUCAUGUGUCUCUGUUUCUUGUGCUGAACUCGUGUUGCAGGUUCCACAUGUGGUCAGUGUUUUUCUUGCUCUGAUGCAGCUGAUGAAUGUAGUUCCAGGUGAAUUACAACAACGAAAGCAAAUAAAAAGCCACUGUCUGUAACUGACUACACAAGAAAUAAUGAUUUUAAAGUUUUUUCCUCU